ACGGAACAAGUUGGUAAACGGAACUGCUAUACCGCAUACGAUCUAAUCUCGGCAUCGAGGAUAGAUGAAAGGUGGCCUCUACAUGUAAGCUAUCACUGAAGGAGGGGAUUGCGUCUGAUUAGCUAGUUGGAGGGGUAACGGCCCACCAAGGCGAUGAUCAGUAGCCGGUCUGAGAGGAUGAACGGCCACAUUGGGACUGAGACACGGCCCAG
rnacentral:rRNA from 1 species